rnacentral:rRNA from 1 species
UACGUAGGUGGCAAGCGUUGUCCGGAUUUACUGGGCGUAAAGCGCGCGCAGGUGGUUCGUUAAGUCCGAAGUGAAAGCUCCCGGCUCAACUGGGAGAGGUCUUUGGAUACUGGCGGACUCGAGGGAGGCAGAGGAAGGUGGAAUUCCCGGUGUAGUGGUGAAAUGCGUAGAGAUCGGGAGGAACACCAGUGGCGAAGGCGGCCUUCUGGGCCUUUCCUGACGCUGAGGCGCGAAAGCGUGGGGAGCGAACCGGAUUAGAAACC